ACGGGAGGCAGCAGUGGGGAAUAUUGGACAAUGGGCGAAAGCCUGAUCCAGCGACGCCGCGUGAGUGAAGAAGCAUUUCGGUAUGUAAAGCUCUAUCAGCAGGGAAGAUAAUGACGGUACCUGACUAAGAAGCACCGGCUAAAUACGUGCCAGCAGCCGCGGUAGUACGUAUGGUGCAAGCGUUAUCCGGAUUUACUGGGUGUAAAGGGAGCGUAGACGGCAUGGCAAGUCUGAAGUGAAAGCCCGGGGCUCAACCCUGGGACUGCUUUGGAAACUGCUAAGCUAGAGUGCAGGAGAGGUAAGUGGAAUUCCUAGUGUAGCGGUGAAAUGCGUAGAUAUUAGGAGGAACACCAGUGGCGAAGGCGGCUUACUGGACUGUAACUGACGUUGAGGCUCGAAAGCGUGGGGAGCAAACAGGAUUAGAUACCCUGGUA
rnacentral:rRNA from 1 species